rnacentral:lncRNA from 1 species
ACCGGACCAUUGAUGUCAGAAGCUCCCAUCCUAUCCCGCCGUCAAGAUCUAGUAGCUCAAACCCUUUACGGAGAUCAGGGCCUGCACGAGGCUCCACUAGUUUUCUCCACGCGGUUAAGUCGUAGUCGCAUCUUUUCAGCUGGCGGUUGAACUGAAUGAGGUUGCUGUCAGACCGUAAGGAUGGGAAUGCCUAGGGAACGGUACAAGCAUGGUCAGAACAUUAACUUAGUACGAUUGAAUCGUUUCCCAACACAAGGAAGAUGAUAAGAACAAAACGAAAGAACAAUCCAAACAACAGAACCAAAAGUAAUAAAGGUCAAUGAAUUCUAGAGUAUCCCCUACAUUCCAAAGGCCCAACCAACAACACAAUAAACAUCUCUAAAAACCUGAAGAACAGUAUCUCCUAUUUACUUCAAUCCUAGAUAUCAUGCAAGAGUCAAAAACUCAGAAAAAAAAACUAGAAGCGAUUGGUGGAUUGUUACUUACCAUUUGAAGGAAGAUGAGGCCGAUGCUAUAGAUAUCAAACCUAUCAGGCGGUUUUAUUAACAAAAAGUAGGUAUAAAAUUUGGUGAUACGAUUAUUAGAAGGCAUGCAUAUAGUGUGUGUGUGCGCGCGCGCGCGCAAUCUAACUGCUUUUGUUAUUGUUCUGUUUACUCACUGCUCCUUGUCGUGCGCUUUAAAAAAAAAAAGAAUAGACGUCUCUUCGAUGUGGCCGACAACAAUAGUGUUUUCGUUUCACAAAAUUGUUAAGGCCACUUUUUUAUAUGUGCGCUGUGAAUCUCUCUACCUUGUUUAUAUAUAUCAGAAAACUUAAAGUUUCUAUGGUAUCAAAUCAUAUCAUUUCAUUUAUAAAGAAAAUGUAAUACAAAAUUCAAAGUCGCAAUGUUAUUCUGUUUCAUAAUCGAUAUUCUUUCCGUUCCAAAAUAGAUGAUGUUUUAAAAAGUUUUUAAUGUUUUAAAAUAUAUGAUGAUUUUGAUAUUUUAUAUUAAUUUUAAUUUUAUUGAAAAUUUUGUGACCAGUAAAUGUUAUAUAAUUUUUUUGAUGAUUGAUUAGAUUAGUUUUAAUUUUUAUUUUAAAUAAUAUUUUUAGAAAUAAAUGUGUGCUUCAAAACAUCAACUAUUUUAGAACAUAGAUAAAAAAAAAAUCUUUUCUUGAUAAACAUGAACAACAACAGACAUCAGAAUCCCUUGGAACUUUAUCUGACGAGAGAAUAAAAUCAGUGUGUGUUCCCUCUGUGUUUUUGGGUCUCAAAAUCCUCUUGUAUAUUCAAUCUUUUCCCACUAGGUGUCGAUCAAUAAUAAUGUGCGUGACAUAUAAGGGGGCAAUUGCCAACUAUUCUUAAUUCUAAACGGCCCAACGGCUUUCACAACUUAAAAUAUUACUACUAAACGGCCUUCGCAACUUGCUUAAUUCUUUAGUCGACUAUACAUUACUACAAUGGGUUACCAAUGAUUAUAAAUUAAAUCCCCAAUCUCCUAAAUCUUUAUGCCAGAUAGGUGUAUAUAACUAAAGUUUGUUUGAGUUGCUAGGCUACAAAAUAAUUAUAAUAAGCAGUUUAGGCAUCGAAAUUAAACGUAUUUUGUGUUGUUAGUGUAAGUGCAGGUAGAUGAUCCUAAGCGAUCAUUGAUCAAUUUACCGAUAAAUUGUUUCAUUGGUUCAUGUAUACUUUUUAUAGAUGAAAUUUUAAUUUCCACGCAAAUUAAAUCAAUUUUAUUUAUAAUUCUAAUUUAAUCAAAAUUGAACUUAUCAAACUUGAUUUAAUUUUGGAUAAAUUACUUUUGAAUCUGAUUCUUCAUGAAAUGUUUUCUUCUAUUUCCUUCGUUGAUAUUACUUCUUAAUUAUCUCCUCUAUGAUAAAACUGUCUUUGUCUUUCUACGUACUUUUACAAAAAAAAAUUUGCUUCCCACUUUUAAAAACUUUUGACGUUCAUGUCAUGCCAUUGAACUAUUUUAACUUAAAGUUUAAUUUGGGUUUCCAAUUAUAAAAUAUUUAAAUAAUAUACUAUUUACCUCUGUAAACACUUGAACCACAUAAAAAUUAAAAGAAUUAAGGACUAAACCACAAUCAUUUCUUAUGUACUGAAAUUUCUAUUUUUUAGACCUGAGAUCAGAACAACACAGAACAUAUAAUUUUCUAAAUGUCGUUUGAGUCUAAUUUUUUAGGUUUUGUCUUUGAUAUCGUCAAACUAAUAACAUUUGAUAUAUAUUUAUAUAUAUUACGUGCAAGUAGUUACUUUGCUCAGCUAUAAUUUAUGUGUAAAUGGUGAAGAAAAUAUGAUGGAUCAUGCAGCCUGUUUCUUUCAUUUCUUCUUUAAGUAUUUUGAGAAAAAUAAUAAUAAAGUAGUUGGUUCACCUGCAGUUGUAUAUAUUUUCUUUUUUGGUAAAAUUGUAUAUAUUUUCUUGGUCGUUUAACUGCAAAUAAUAAUGAAAUUCUAACCGUAGAAGUACAAUUGUACCUUUAUCAAUUUUUUUGGUGUGGCCUUAAGGUAUAUAAUGUAACAACCAGAUCUCAGAAAAUAAACUUAAUCAACCAGAAAGAAGAAAACAGCAACAAAAGACAAUGAAAUUAGCUACUAAUUUACAUCCGAAAAACCCUUCUUUGGGAUGAAAAAAACUACAGAAAUACAUGCAUAGCUCCGUAUAGAAAGCCAACACAUAUAAGCUUCUUCCCAAGAGUUAUAUAAGGAAGAUCCGCAACAACAAAAACAAAAAACAAAAGAACUAAAUAUAUUGGGUUAGUCUUCCUUAAGCCGAUUAUGAAAAUGAUUUUGAUUUUCUUCUUCUUUUGUUAGUCAUGCCAACAAAGAAGCAUGACGACACACCUCCUUAUGAUGUAAAGUUUAGCCUUUUGCUCUCUAACCACUCCUCCCACUCCUCGGCUCCACAUCUUCCUCUUCGUUCCUCCUACGCUCGAACUGGUCGUCUUCAUUUUCGCUUGAUCCUUUGGAAGUGAAAUGUGACAGAGAAAGAGAGAACAAUUAGGGUGUCUGUGUGGAUGAUAAUGAGGAAUGUGAUGACUGAUGAAUGAAGAAGAGUAUUGUGCUCUAUAUAUACAAGUGGGGAAAAGGUGGCCGAGGACAGAAACCGAACCAUACCGAACUAGACCGGUCCACAAAAGAGGCAACGAGUGGGUCCAUCGGGGGUUUGUGCACUGUUCCCUAACUCACCGGACAGUGUGUCCCUCCAUACCCACGUGGACCCCCACCGUGAGCGAAUCUUUGCCCUAAAUGUGUUUAUUUAUUAUCUUAUCACAUGCUCUAUCUUCAUGAAAACUUUACCCAAACCCCCAAAUUAUAAAACAAAUGAAAACCAUACCGAUGAAUAAAGUGAGCCUAUAUUUUCCUUUAUCAUAUUUCGGUUUAAUCUGACAAAAAUCCUAAGUGCAAUGUAUCAGUUGUUUUCAGAACCGAAUUCGACGUCAGAAAAUAUUGUCACCAACCAAAACUGUUGGGACUAAAUAAUAGUCUAAUACUAGCCAUCCAAAAUCGACACCUACUUGGUCCCCGGACGUUACUAAUAGUCUAACACUAGUCUAAUAAUUGUGAUAAUGAAAACUAACAUUUAAUUCUUUGAUUGGAAGCUCUCUCAUCAAUUUUGUGACCUGAUGAUAUUUCCAUAUCGACAAAUUCUAGUUAAUAAGUAAUAUAUUCCAAAAUCUUGAAGGCACAUGCAUGAAGAAAUUCAAAGCAUCGGAUUUUUGUUUAUCUAUAAUUUUCCGAUUUGAGUCAGAUUUAAAUUAUUAUAUACACAAUAUGAUAUGGAGACUAUACUAAAAUGCAUUGCGCCGAAAUUAGUGAGAGAAGUUAUUAAUUACCAAACUAUAACUAAUGAGGAGCAGUUAGGCGUUAAUUAGGUGGGAUAGUCUUAAAUUACAGAUUCUUCUUUAUAUAAUUCAGAUUCAAUCAAUCUUUUUAGCAAAAACCGACAACGGGUUGGUAUAAUUUCAAGAAGUAAUCAAACCCUAUUUUUUAAGUUACAUUAAUCGUUAACAUUAGAAAAUCACAUCUUACAGCUAUAUCACAGUUAAUAAUACAGCACUCCUCUAAGAGUAAAGUUAAUUAAUAUAAUUAGAUACACAAUUAACCAAGUAGAGUUUGGUGUUGUUUGAUGUGGUUUACGCGCUGUUGUCAUUGAUUAUGGUGAAGUCCUCCUCGAACAAGGAGAGUGGAACCGCACGUGAGGUUCUCGUGAUUCACAAAAUGCCUUCAGCUUUUGGUCGUCUAAAAGAACAAGUUUAUAACAAAUAAAAAUUACAUUCUUUUUUAAUCUAUAGCUUAUUAUGUGAUUAUGCGAGUUAGACUCUGUCAUUCUUAUUUCCUUUAAAUCUUGUCGUCCUUUUAUCAACAAACUUUUUCUUCACCCCUCGUGGUUAUAACCAGUUUUAAGUUUUAACAAUUUAUUACUCAGGUAUACUUAGUUAAUAUAAAAGUUACGUACGUGUGCUUUAUGUGCAAUGGAUAAACGUGAGAGAGAUCAUUCCCACAUUUUAGAUCCAGCGAAACAGCUACUUUUGUUUUCCUUUUAACCAAGAGCAUGUGGCCUAGUAAUUUGCUGGAGUUGAUAGAGUAGAUUCAUCAUGUGAGUCAAGACUCAGAAGCAGAUAUUGAGUUAAACCAUCUACGAGCGAAAUCGUUGUGCAUAUCUCUUAGCAAUUCUAAAUUUUGUUUGUUAAAUAUGUGAAUCUAUUAUGAAUUUUCAACUCAAAACCAAUUAAUACUGAAUGAUUUGACUUUAUUAUUUACAUAUUACAUAUUUUUAUUUUUUACUAUCAAUAUAAGAUUUUCUUUAUUUUAUUUCUUUGACAUCUCUACACGCUCAUGUACCAUCAUACAUAGACAAUUGUAAAAACGAUAUUCUAGAGUAUGAUCCAACUUAUAGUGAUUCUAAUAUCAUGUUAAAUUUAAUUUUGUCAGAAGCAAUUAAUAAAUAAUAAAUUGAUCUUUAAAUAUUAUAUAUGACUGUAUUAUUUCUUCAAUUAAUAAUGUGGAAUUUUCUUUCAUUUACUUCCAAGAUUAGUAAGAAUUUUCGACACAAUAUCUAUCUCAUUUAUCUGGUGAACAAAAAAAAAUCUAUCCCAUUAUCUAAAGAGAGAAUUACUUUUUCACAUUUUAACUAAUGAUUCCCUUAUAUGAUAGACGGAGGCAUGUGCUCUAUGUGAAGAGAGCUUGAGUGUGAGAAACGACUCCAGCUUCAACGGCGUACGGAAUUACUCUUUUGUCAAUUUUCAAAUAGACAAGCACUUACUUCGAUAGCCAGCAAAGGCUAAAUAUCUCUUGACCAGAGACUUCUCUGACUCUUCGUGCGGAGCUCAUGGUUUCUCAGGUCCAAAACCCGAAGGGGUAACGUGCUAUUCAAGAAACUUGCCUUUUCUUUUUUAAUUGGUUUCACAAAUUCCUAUGACAUCAACAAAAGUAUUCACAAGAGUACUCAAACUUCAGAAACAGAGUCAGAGACUGCCAUGUGUGUAGAUUUAGGUACAGUGCAUUUUUAUUUACGGUUAACUUGCUUUACAAGUAGUAGUAAUAGUUUACUAAAGGCUAAUAACAUAUACAUUGAGAUUUACACUAUUGGGAUGAAAAUGAAACAUUGAUAGACGAUACCGUAAGUGCUCACUCCUCCCUGGGGAUCCACCGGUUCCACCACACGGUCUUGCGGCCAUCGGCAAUCUCAUCAAUAGUCUCUGCAACUGUUUUCACAAGCUUCCUCUUAAGCCUAAGUGCUGAUGCGAGAGCGUUUCUCUGCGCACUUGCUUUCUUCCGAGGCUCUUUCUCCUAUAAUAAUCCAAAGAAUCCACAUUAGGCUUACUUAGGUCAUUUCACACGUUAUAACUCUCUCAGGUAUUAGCCACAAACCCUGAGUUCCUGAAGCUGCGUUUCUGUGAAUCCUCCAUCUUUUUCUGUCCCGGAUCUCGCCAUCAACUGAAUCACCCAGUUUGCAGCUUCGCUGUAGUCUUGUUGUGUAGCCCUGAAGUAUUGCAUCCUCAUGUUUUGCAUGACGGACAAAGCAAGCAACCCUUGUCUAUCGAAAUACGGGUGAGCGAGAGCUGCUUUUGCGCUGAUUCUUUGUCUUGCUUUGAACCGGACCAUUGAUGUCAGAAGCUCCCAUCCUAUCCCGCCGUCAAGAUCUAGUAGCUCAAACCCUUUACGGAGAUCAGGGCCUGCACGAGGCUCCACUAGUUUUCUCCACGCGGUUAAGUCGUAGUCGCAUCUUUUCAGCUGGCGGUUGAACUGAAUGAGGUUGCUGUCAGAUCGUAAGGACGGGAAUGCCUAGGGAAUGGUAUAAGCAUUGUCAGAACAUUAACAUAGCAUGAUUGAUUCGUUUCCCAACAAAGGAAGCUGGUAAUAACAAAACUAGGUUCUGCUCUGAUGAUCAAGGAAGGGAUGAUAAAACAAAAGAACAGUCCAAACAACAGAACCAAAAGCAAUCCAGGUCAAUGAACUAUAGAGUAUUACUUUAAAGGCCCAACCAACAACACACUAAACAUCCUUAAAAACUCAGAGAAAACUAGAAGCGAUUGGUG